CAUGCAAGUCGAACGGAAAGGCCCUUUCGGGGGUGCUCGAGUGGCGAACGGGUGAGUAACACGUGGGUGAUCUGCCCUGCACUCUGGGAUAAGCUUGGGAAACUGGGUCUAAUACCGGAUAGGACCAUGGGAUGCAUGUUCUGUGGUGGAAAGCUUUUGCGGUGUGGGAUGGGCCCGCGGCCUAUCAGCUUGUUGGUGGGGUGAUGGCCUACCAAGGCGACGACGGGUAGCCGGCCUGAGAGGGUGUCCGGCCACACUGGGACUGAGAUACGGCCCAGACUCCUACGGGAGGCAGCAGUGGGGAAUAUUGCACAAUGGGCGCAAGCCUGAUGCAGCGACGCCGCGUGGGGGAUGACGGCCUUCGGGUUGUAAACCUCUUUCAGUAUCGGCGAAGCUUGCGGGUUUUCUCGCAGGUGACGGUAGGUACAGAAGAAGCACCGGCCAACUACGUGCCAGCAGCCGCGGUAAUACGUAGGGUGCGAGCGUUGUCCGGAAUUACUGGGCGUAAAGAGCUCGUAGGUGGUUUGUCGCGUUGUCCGUGAAAACUCACAGCUCAACUGUGGGCGUGCGGGCGAUACGGGCAGACUGGAGUACUGUAGGGGAGACUGGAAUUCCUGGUGUAGCGGUGGAAUGCGCAGAUAUCAGGAGGAACACCGGUGGCGAAGGCGGGUCUCUGGGCAGUAACUGACGCUGAGGAGCGAAAGCGUGGGGAGCGAACAGGAUUAGAUACCCUGGUAGUCCACGCCGUAAACGGUGGGUACUAGGUGUGGGUUUCCUUCCUUUAGGGAUCCGUGCCGUAGCUAACGCAUUAAGUACCCCGCCUGGGGAGUACGGCCGCA
rnacentral:rRNA from 1 species